rnacentral:rRNA from 1 species
AACGAACGCUGGCGGCAUGCCUAACACAUGCAAGUCGAACGAGACCUUCGGGGCUAGUGGCGCACGGGUGCGUAACGCGUGGGAACCUGCCCUUAGGUUCGGAAUAACUCCCCGAAAGGGGUGCUAAUACCGGAUAAUGUCUUCGGACCAAAGAUUUAUCGCCUUUGGAUGGGCCCGCGUUGGAUUAGCUAAUUGGUAGGGUAAAAGCCUACCAAGGCGACGAUCCAUAGCUGGUCUGAGAGGAUGAUCAGCCACACUGGGACUGAGACACGGCCCAGACUCCUACGGGAGGCAGCAGUGGGGAAUAUUGGACGAUGGGCGAAAGCCUGAUCCAGCAAUGCCGCGUGAGUGAUGAAGGCCUUAGGAUUGUAAAGCUCUUUUACCCGGGACGAUAAUGACAGUACCGGGAGAAUAAGCUCCGGCUAACUCCGUG